rnacentral:rRNA from 1 species
CGAAUAGCUCAGUAACACGUGGCCAAGCUCCCCUUCAGUCAGCGAUACCCUCGGGAAACCGAGGUUAACAGCUGAUACAAAACGCCAGCUGGAAUGCGGCGUUUCAGAAAGACAUCGCUGAAGGAUGCGGCUGCGGCCGAUUAGGUAGACGGUGGGGUAACGGCCCACCGUGCCAGUAAUCGGUACGGGUGAUGAGAGUCAGAGCCCGGAGACGGAAUCUGAGACAAGAUUCCGGGCCCUACGGGGCGCAGCAGGCGCGAAACCUUUACACUGCACGGAAGUGCGAUAGGGGAAUCCCAAGUGCGAGGGCAUAUUAGCCCUCGCUUUUCUCGACUGUAAGGUGGUCGACGAAUAAGAGCUGGGCAAGACCGGUGCCAGCCGCCGCGGUAAUACCGGCAGCUCAAGUGAUGUCCCAUAUUAUUGGGCCUAAAGCGUCCGUAGCUGGCCGACCAAGUCUACCGGGAAAUCCACCCGCCCAACGGGUGGGCGUCCGGUAGAAACUGGCCGGCUUGGAACCGGAAGGCUCAGAGAGUACGUCCGGGGUAGGAGUGAAAUCCCGUAAUCCCGGACGGACUACCGAUGGCGAAAGCACUCUGAGAAGACGGCUU